CCUACGGGUGGCAGCAGUGAGGAAUAUUGGUCAAUGGGCUUACGCCUGAACCAGCCAAGUCGCGUGAGGGAAGACUGCCCUAUGGGUUGUAAACCUCUUUUGUCAGGGAGCAACGCCGGCUACGUGUAGCCGGACGGAGAGGACCUGAAGAAAAAGCAUCGGCGAACUCCGUGCCAGCAGCCGCGGUAAGACGGAGGAUGCGAGCGUUAGCCGGAUUGAUUGGGUUUAAAGGGGGCGUAGGCGGAAUGCCAAGUCAGCGGUAAAAUCGCGGGGCUCAACCUCGCUCCGCCGUUGAAACUGGCGUUCUUGAGUGGGCGAUAAGUCUGCGGACUGCGUGGUGUCGCUGU
rnacentral:rRNA from 1 species